UGGGGGAUAUUGCACAAUGGGGGAAACCCUGAUGCAGCAAUGCCGCGUGAAGGAAGGAGGUCUUCGGAUUGUAAACUUCUGUCCUAUGGGAAGAUAAUGACGGUACCCCUAAAGGAAGCACCGGCUAACUCCGUGCCAGCAGCCGCGGUAAUACGGAGGGUGCGAGCGUUAAUCGGAAUCACUGGGCGUAAAGCGCACGUAGGCUGUUUGUCAAGUCAGAGGUGAAAUCCCACGGCCCAACCGUGGAACUGCCUUUGAAACUGGCAGACUUGAGUGUCGGAGAGGGUGGCGGAAUUCCAGGUGUAGGAGUGAAAUCCGUAGAUAUCUGGAGGAACACCAGUGGCGAAGGCGGCUUACUGGACGAUAACUGACGUUGAGGCUCGAAAGCGUGGGGAGCAAACA
rnacentral:rRNA from 1 species